AUUGAACGCUGGCGGCAUGCCUUACACAUGCAAGUCGAACGGCAGCGGACCUUCGGGUGCCGGCGAGUGGCGAACGGGUGAGUAAUAUAUCGGAACGUACCUUUCAGUGGGGGAUAACGUAGCGAAAGUUACGCUAAUACCGCAUAUUCUGUGAGCAGGAAAGCAGGGGAUCGCAAGACCUUGCGCUGAUUGAGCGGCCGAUAUCAGAUUAGCUAGUUGGUGAGGUAAAGGCUCACCAAGGCGACGAUCUGUAGCGGGUCUGAGAGGAUGAUCCGCCACACUGGAACUGAGACACGGUCCAGACUCCUACGGGAGGCAGCAGUGGGAAUUUUGGACAAUGGGCGCAAGCCUGAUCCAGCCAUGCCGCGUGAGUGAAGAAGGCCUUGGUGUAA
rnacentral:rRNA from 1 species